rnacentral:snoRNA from 1 species
UAACCAUGGUAGGGACAAAGGGCUUGCAACUCUUUGUAUCUUUCCCAAGCUUGAUGUAAGGUCUCACUAUCCUUUGGGGCAAAUGAAGAAAUUUGUUUCUUCAGUGC